AUUUAGAUGCUGGUGGGUUCAUAAAAAUCUACCCUCCUCUUUUCAGGGCAAUUUAGGAAAGGCUGCAUGAUAAAAUCCUCAGAGAGAUGGGUAGCAAUCUCAUUACUAGGGACCAAUAUGUCCUUUCAUAAUGAAGCCCUAGGAGAGAUAAAGCCCUGGUGUUUCCCUUCAUGUCAGUUCAGUUCAGUCGCUCAGUCGUGUCUGACUCUUUGCGACCCCAUGAAUCGCAGCACACCAGGCCUCCCUGUCCAUCACCAAUUCCCAGAGUUCACUCAAACUCACGUCCAUUCAGUCGGUGAUGCCAUCCAGCCAUCUCAUCCUCUGUCUUCCCGAUCUCCUCCUGCCCCCAAUCCCUCCCAGCAUCAGAGUCUUUUCCAAUGAGUCAACUCUUCGCAUGAGGUAGCCAAAGUAUUGGAGCUUCAGCUUUAGCAUCAUUCCUUCCAAAGAAAUCCCAGGGCUGAUCUCCUUCAGAAUGGACUGGUUGGAUCUCCGUGCAGUCCAAGGGACUCUCAAGAGUCUUCUCCACCACCACAGUUCAAAAGCAUCAAUUCUUCGGCUCUCAGCGUUCUUCACAGUCCAACUCCCACAUCCAUACAUGACCACAGGAAAGACCAUAGCCUUGACUAGACGGACCUUGGUCGGCUAAGUAAUAUCUCUGCUUUUGAAUAUGCUAUCUAGGUUGGUCAUAACUUUUCUUCCAAGGAGUAAGCAUCUUUUAAUUUCAUGGCUGAAGUCACCCUCUGCAGUGAUUUUGGAGCCCCCCAAAAUAAAGUCUGACACUGUUUCCACUGUUUCCCCAUCUAUUUCCCAUGAAGUGAUGGGACUGGAUGCCAUGAUCUUCGUUUUCUGAAUGUUGAGCUUAGAGAGAUAAAAAGGGUUUGAUGCACCUGUUUGUGCCAACAAAUUUGAAAUUUUUAUGAAAGGAAGAAACUCAUGGAAAAAAAAAACACUAUUAAUUGAGGUAAGGCUAACCUAUUGUAACAUACAAAAUGAAACAUAUGAUGCCUUAAAAAAUAGAUGAUCAAUUUUCUUUUAUUGUCCAGUUUUCAGGAGAGUGAUCAAUGUGGCAGCUUCCCUUGAUGGGGCCAUCCAGAGGCAUCACUGGUUAGAUUUUGCAGGAAAGAGAAAGCACACUCAGAUGGGGCUAUUGAGGGAAGUUCUUUAAGGGGAGUAUAGAUACAAGGGUGGGAAUGUAACAAGAAACUAGUAAGACAAAGUAUAAUACUCCGUUGUUAGCAAUGGAGUAAGAGAAAAGUUGGGGGUUUUCCAGGGACUGUUUCCUGCCCUAGGUUUGAAGGAACAAGGGAGUAGAAAUAGUUAUUAGAACCAAAAGAGAGUCGAUGAAGUGGAGACUCUCCCAAGAGAUGCUCUUGUCACUGGUAGGAUGCAGCUAACCUAUGACAACUCAGCAGAGAGAGCAGAGGAAAUGAAUACCUUGACUGAACUCCCCUUCCACCCUCCCAAAUCCAUAAGCCAGGGAGCUAUUAAUGGAGGCCAGAAAGCCUCCCAGGACGCAGAGCAAAGGGGAACAGUGUACAGAGUGAAUCCUAAGCAGCAGAAAGCUUCAUCGUGUGCUGCACCACAGCUAGGUAACUAUGAUUAUCCGCUUGGUUGAAGCUCCGUCACCCUCAUGUCUGUGUUUCAUCAAACUGGAAGGAGAGAAAGACUGGAGGAUGGCAGGGAGAAAUACCUGUCGUAAGUCCCAGGACCAGAAAUGGUAGUCAUUACUUUUACUCCCUCACCGAUGGUAAAAACUAACCGCAUGGCAUCACCUAACUAACUGCAGGGGAAAAUGGGUGAUGUAAUACAACUGGAGGGACAUACGUUCGAGGAGGAAGAAUGAAUAAAUU
ensembl:lncRNA